rnacentral:lncRNA from 1 species
GUUCCUAUUUGAAAGAUAAUAUUUUAAUGGUUCAUUGAGCUUAAGAAUUUUUUGACAUUGAAGGAAAUAUAUUGAUUUUUCACUCAACUUUAAGAUUUCAGAGAUGGUAGGAGAGCUAUUUGAGGCAUAAAAAUGUAUGACUAUGUACAGAUGGAAUGGCCUUGAGGUUCUUGUAUGUACGACUUCAGACUCUAUGUAUGAUCUUGGAGGAACCUUUCUUGUUACUGGUCUAUUUUUCCAUAUAAGAUAGAGGCAAGGACAUAUGUAAAGAGAACAUGGCCCGGAGACAUGGAGUACAUGUGUGCAGUACAACAGUACUCUGACAUUAUCAGAAGACCGAGAAGCUACCAGGCCAUGUGACAUCAGAACACCAUGAAUUUGGCCAGUGAAAAUGGAAGCUAUGUAAUUGGUGAAUUCCAAAUUCCAGGCAAGCAAGCUGAUUGGCCAAGCUACAGUGGAAUGUGAUCAGUACUGUAAAAGCAGAGUUCUGGGGAAAAGCCCAGGUGUGCCUAGGAGUCACUGCGCCUCUUCUCUUGGCAUCUACCCUUUCUGUUCCUGGUGAUGAACUGGCAAGAGGAGCAAGACAUCCCAGCACUCUGUCACACAUAAAGGAUAACAUUGGGAUUUCUGGAUUCAAGAGUGAAGAAAUUUAUAUCAGAGGAUCACACAGGUUCCAGUUUAAGAGCCAACUGGACGGAAGACUUUGCUGCCUAGAGAGGUGUCAUGGUGCUUGUAAAGCAGGCACAGCUUCAGAAGAGCAUCUGCUGAGAAGGAGAAGGGGAGAUGAAGCAGAAAGGUCUUUACCCUGCUAGAUACCCCAUGGUCACUGUCAGAGACCUCGGCGCUGCAGUUCCUGUGUAGCUCUCCAGGUAUGAGAAAACAAGGAAACUAUUAAAAGAUGCCUGACCUGCCUAGGAGCCCCAUGUGAACAACCAGUAUCCAGUUCUUGACCCAUCUCCCCAUCUUUAGUGCUGUACCCCCUUAGAAGGGUGUGUGGGCACAGGCAGUACUUCUGCGGCUUUGGUGGUUUCUCCCUAAAACUUCUGGAGGAAAACUUUGGCUUUUAUGUUUGCUUUGCUUUUCUGAAUUUUAAGAACAGUAAGUGGAAGAAGUAAGCAAGAUAGCUAAAGAAUGCUCAUUUAAGUUGGCUUAAUUAUCUCCAUUAAACUUAAUUGCCA